GAUAGACUUCCUGAUUCGGAGCUAUGGUUAAAAUUCUGGAACAUUUUCAGUCCGUGUAUUUUUUGAUACCAUGUCCAUUCUGUUUGAUUAUAUGUCAGUUAUAAUUUUUAUGUCUUGAUUAGUUAGUGAGAUUGGUCUGUGGCUGUGUUGUUUUGUACUAUUUGUAAUAGGUUUUGGUGUUAAGAUUGUGAUGUCAUAAAAUGACUUGAGCAGCCUACCCUGUUUACUUUAAGAGCUGUAAAGUAGGAGGUAAGCUCUUUAAGGACAGGGACAUUGUUUCAUUUAAUGUUGCAUCCUGGAGCCUAAAACAGUGACUGACUUUUGCUAAGGAGUAGAAAAAUGUUUGUCUAAGGUGUGAAGGAAGGAAGGAACAAGAAACAGGAAGGAAAUGCAAGGGCUGGAGGAGAGAGUUAAACCAGAGGAAAGCAAGAUUUUAGACACGUGCGAAAGGGUCCUCAGUCCCUGCUCCUCUCUCAGGCUGAGACUUUAGAAUCCCAGGUAAGUCUGGAAGGUCUGAUGGUAGGGUCAAUCUGUAUCUUGCUUCCUAACAGGACUUUUUGAAGACGCAGCCCACCUUGGCUGUCUCCUCUGUGCCACACAAAGGAGCUGAGAUGACUAGAAAGACUCUCGUUGCGUGCAAAGUAAACUGAUGAAGUUCCUGUGUCCCCUGUGUGGUGUGAGGGUCCUCCGAACUUUCACUAUGUGCCUGAGAGCAGUGUAAAUUU
rnacentral:lncRNA from 1 species